UGCUGGAUGGGAGACGGUGCAUUGAGUGAGCGCGUCCUCCUGCAACAACCAAAUCGCCGCCGAUCAGUAUACAUCGAAUAACGACAUUAACCGAAUUUCUUGAGCGGACCAGGAGUUCCAUUCAGAUUUGCCUCGUCGAGCAUCGCCCGCGCCAAAUGAAGGUCGCAUUCAUUCAUCGUACCGGCUAACAAUGUACCACACAACUCCUGCAACUCCCUAAAAUCAAAAUGGCGAUUAAGAAACAGCGCUUAAAUGCUCACAGCUAGUGUUUGAACAUCGAUGCGUGAUACAUAAACAAUGCAGAACAUUCAAGGCCAACCAAGAUCACUCUCGCACCGUCGAAGCCUUGACCCAAAAAAUGAGCACAUAUUAUAAAAUGAAGCAAUAUUUAAGAAUAAGCAAAUUCGAGCGGAUUUUUUUUUAGUGUGUGCAGUUCGAUCAAUUGGUUAUUGUAAAGCCUACAAGGUUGCGCUGAGCUACAAAAUCAAACCAAAACGACGCACAAUCUCGAUAUGUUUUCCACCUAUACUAAUACACGGUUUGAUAGCGAAAAUGAUGUAUUUAGAUGAAUUUGUGUGCGUGUGCUGAAUGUGUACAAAAGGUUAAUAACUGAACUAUUUUUGGACGUCCAGGUUCUACGCAUACGCGCGGACAAACCAGCUUUUUGUGUGAACAAUUGAACACAAUUACUUUAAACCGCACUAUUAAGCCGUAUUGAUCAAAAACUUCACGAGUAAAACUCAUUAGUCCAGCAGGAAUGCGUGCUUUCUGUGUUUCACAAUCAUAAUAGAGAACUUGUUUGUAAACAUU